UACGAAGGGGGCUAGCGUUGCUCGGAAUCACUGGGCGUAAAGCGCACGUAGGCGGCUUACUAAGUCAGGGGUGAAAUCCUGGAGCCUCAACUCCAGAACUGCCUUUGAUACUGGUGAGCUUGAGUUCGGGAGAGGUGAGUGGAACUGCGAGUGUAGAGGUGAAAUUCGUAGAUAUUCGCAAGAACACCAGUGGCGAAGGCGGCUCACUGGCCCGAUACUGACGCUGAGGUGCGAAAG
rnacentral:rRNA from 1 species